CAGAAAUUGAUGAACAUCAGAGGGAAUGAGGAGGUGGAGAAUGGGGGUCACUACCUCCACCACCAAUGGCAACACAGAAGUUAUCAAUAACAGGAAACAGCUUGGAAUGCUGGAACACCUCUAUCUUGCAGUCAUCUGUGAGGUCGAUGAAUGCGCGACAGCAAGAGCGAGUGAGUUUGAAGAUGGAACCUCCUUCGAACACCUCCGCUAUCUCAAACACGCAGGCCGGGACCUCAAAAAUAGCCAGCCAGCAUUUGGCUGCAAGUUUUGUGGG
rnacentral:lncRNA from 1 species